UUUUGCGGCAGAAAUUCUAAUCUCGCGUGGACACACAAAUAGCUCUCUUGCUCGGCAGCUAGCUUGCCCGGUACUUAGCUCUCGGACAUGCAGCUAGUUUGCUUGCCCGCGGAGCACCUGCACGCACACGCGCCUGCGGCGGAGCUCCCGUCCGCGAGCUCCCACCAAACUCGCUUGCCCGCGCGGCAGCAGAGCUCCCGCCCGCGCGGCCGCUGUCACCGGCCGCAGAGCCCGUGGCUUCCGCUCGCUCGUGCUCGCGAAGCAACUGAGUAUCGACUCCCGACCUUGUUGUUGUCGCCGCUGAAGCGGCCUGCGCUGCAGCCCCGUCCCCGCCGGCAUCACGCCGCCGAUGCAGCAGCGCGUGGCUUAAGUAUGCUGCGCGCGCGUAGGCGCUCCUCCCUCGCGCUUCGAGUGGGAGGACCAAGGCGCGGCGGGCGGGCGGGCGGGCGGCGAGCCGGCGACGGCUGCAGGUGGACGCGGCGGGUGUGGGAGCACUACAGUCACCUGAGAUGCAGACAUGAAGAACCGAAGGUCAGGUGCAUCGAUGUCGGCCCCGUUGAGCGAUUUCGGUAGUGCGGUGCGAGGAGGAGAAGAUGGAUGAGGACACGGACGUCGAUUGCAGUGAGAUGGGAACACCGACGGCGGCGGCUUCCGUGAGGCAAGCUGAAGAAAAAUGGAGCUGCGGGUUUUGCGGGUUUGUUCUCUCGUCCGCGGGCAUUACCAGGUUUGUUAAUAGGUAAAGACUUAGAAACGGCCGGCCGCGCGGAAGCGCAAACAUACGGCACACACGCGGCUUCCGCGACCAUGCGCGGCGCGCUCGUGAGCGAGUCCCACCGACUCCCAUCCUUAUCUCCCCUUGUCGCUUCCUCUCGAUCUUAUCUCCCCUUGUCGCUUCCUCUCGAUCUUAUCUCCUUUUUAACGACACCUCCCAUCCACUCCUCUCCCGUCGGCGAUUCCCCUCCCCUCCCCGCCACUGCCUACUCUCCUAUCCCGUCCUCCACCAUGGCCUCCCUUCCUCCCCCACCCCCUGGCCAUCUUCCCUACACAAGCGGAGCAGCACGGUUGGUGCGGCACGACACGGAGCAAGCGCGGCGGAGUGGAGUGGGGCGGGCUGCACGGAGCGGAGCGGGGCCAAGCAGCUCGGCAUGGGGCUACCGGCCCUCUCCCACCGGUCCUCUCCCACCCGUCGCCCCUCCCCUCCCACGCCGCCCCUCCCCUCCCACGCCGCCCCUCCUUUGGCGUGCAUGGAGAGGAACUCAUACGCACACCAUGUCAGAGAUGCCUUUAUGCACGACAAGACAGGGCAUGGAUAUGCUGGACGGAGGAUUCCCGCGGGCAGAGCAAGGAAAUCCAGGAAUGAGAUCUCCUUCGCCUGCAAUGCCAUAAUGUAUGAACAGUACGUUAUUUUAUACUACAUCGAUUGGGCCCACCUGUCGGGGACCCAACGGGCAUGUACGCGCCUCCCUUGAGAUAUAAAAGGGAGGCGCUCGCUACAGAUUCUUAGACUCACGCUGGACUCAGCACUAGAUCUCUCAGACUCUCUUGAGGCUAAGUAAACACAAGCAAUACAACACACAGUGGACGUAGGGUAUUAUGCUCCGGCAGCCCGAACCACUCUAAA